rnacentral:rRNA from 1 species
CGCCUCCUGCCUACACCACAUAGGAGGUCCCGCCUGCCCAGUGACCAAAAGUUUAACGGCCGCGGUAUUUUAACCGUGCAAAGGUAGCGCAAUCAAUUGUCUUUUAAAUGAAGACCUGUAUGAAUGGCAUAACGAGGGUUUAACUGUCUCUUUCUCCUGGUCAGUGAAACUGAUCUACCCGUGCAGAAGCGGGUAUGAAUAUACAAGACGAGAAGACCCUAUGGAGCUUUAGACGCCCACCAAUCAUGAAAAGCAAGUCUCAGUUAGCAGGCCUCCAAACAACAUGAUACUGGUAUAAACGUCUUCGGUUGGGGCGACCGCGGGAGAGAAAAAAGCUCCCGAGAGGAUUGGGGCUACCCUAAAACCAAGAGCUACACCUCUAAGUCACAAAACAUUUGACCAAAAAUGAUCCGGCUAUUUGCCGAUUAACGAACCAAGUUACCCUAGGGAUAACAGCGCAAUCCCUUCCCAGAGUCCAUAUCGACGAAGGGGUUUACGACCUCGAUGUUGGAUCAGGACAUCCUAAUGGUGCAGCCGCUAUUAAGGGUUCGUUUGUUCAACGAUUAAAGUCCU